rnacentral:rRNA from 1 species
GACGAACGCUGGCGGCGUGCUUAACACAUGCAAGUCGAACGGAAAGGCCCUGCUUUUGUGGGGUGCUCGAGUGGCGAACGGGUGAGUAACACGUGAGUAACCUGCCCUUGACUUUGGGAUAACUUCAGGAAACUGGGGCUAAUACCGGAUAGGAGCUCCUGCUGCAUGGUGGGGGUUGGAAAGUUUCGGCGGUUGGGGAUGGACUCGCGGCUUAUCAGCUUGUUGGUGGGGUAGUGGCUUACCAAGGCUUUGACGGGUAGCCGGCCUGAGAGGGUGACCGGCCACAUUGGGACUGAGAUACGGCCCAGACUCCUACGGGAGGCAGCAGUGGGGAAUAUUGCACAAUGGGCGGAAGCCUGAUGCAGCAACGCCGCGUGCGGGAUGACGGCCUUCGGGUUGUAAACCGCUUUCGCCUGCGACGAAGCGUGAGUGACGGUAAUGGGUAAAGAAGCACCGGCUAACUACGUG